GUGACAUAUAAGGUCAGUGAUCUCUUGGAUGAAAAAGUUGAUGAAGUUUCUGGAACAGAGCUGCGUAUCUCUUGCAUUGAGCAGAGACUAAAGACAUGCCAGGAGUACAUUGAUAAUGAGGGUAUGUCGCAGCAGUCAUUGGUUAUUCAUACUCCUAAGUAUCACAAGCGAUAUAUAUUACCAGUUGGCGAGACAGCGGAUGGUGGUAACCUCACCAAGUUACAGUACCAAGGGUGUAGUCUUGACGAUCAAGAUGAUUGGAAUCAAUUUAGAAACGCUGUGCGAGCAACAAUUAGAGAGACUCCACCACCUGCAGCUGGGAAAGGAUUCUCCCCAUCACCUACUCCACGUCUUCUUCAGCAGUAUGGAAAAUUUUCGUUCUCCGGAACCACACCAAAAAAGGAAUUAGACAAGCGAACAGUUUCACCACAUCGGUUUCCUCUUUUACGAACUGCAUCACUUGCUAGUCGGCCAACCACCCCCAAAAGUUCUAGGCCAACCACCCCAAAUAAGAGUCGGCCUACAACUCCAAACCCUUCCAACGGG
rnacentral:misc_RNA from 1 species